AACGCAUAUUGCGCCCUUUGGUAUUCCGAAGGGCAUGCCUGUUCGAGCGUCAUUAUCAACCAUCAAGCCUAGCUUGUCGUUGGACCCUCUUUACAGUUGAAAUUAUACUGUAGGUCCGAAAGAUAAUGACGGUGUCUUGUUUGACCCUAAAUGCAACGAGCUUUUUAUAGCACGCAUUGAAGUGGUCGAACCGGCCCCGGUCUUAACCAUUAUUUUCUUAAGGUUGACCUCGGAUCAGGUAGGAAUACCCGCUGAACUUAA
rnacentral:misc_RNA from 1 species